GCGGGGCUGCGAGGUGCGUGGGGGAUACAUUCCCCGGGGCCUUACGAUCCUCAAGGGAGCUGUCCCUGGCCAGACCCGUGGGUUUGGUCACAUGGCGCCCACCUACUUAUGUAGGUUCCCGGGAUCACACUCUCACGGCCGUUGCGGCUCCGCA
rfam:Pseudolabrys sp. Root1462 contig_1, whole genome shotgun sequence.